ensembl:snRNA U6 U6 spliceosomal RNA
GUGCUUUCCUGGACAGCACAUACACUAAAAAACUAAAACAAUACAGAGAAGAUUAGCAUGGCCCCGGCCCAAGGAUGACACACAAAUUCAUGAAGUGUGCCAUUUUUUC